UACGUAGGGUGCGAGCGUUUGUCCGGAAUUAUUGGGCGUAAAGGGCUCGUAGGCGGUUUGUCGCGUCGGGAGUGAAAACACCGGGCUUAACUCGGUGCUUGCUUUCGAUACGGGCAGACUAGAGGCAUGCAGGGGAGAACGGAAUUCCCGGUGUAGCGGUGAAAUGCGCAGAUAUCGGGAGGAACACCGGUGGCGAAGGCGGUUCUCUGGGCCUGUACUGACGCUGAGGAGCGAAAGCGUGGGGAGCGAACAGG
rnacentral:rRNA from 1 species